rnacentral:lncRNA from 1 species
GGGAGAUGACCUCAUUAACACUGAGUGACGGUGAAUGUCCCGACUUUCUACUAGGUUUCUGACGCUAACCCGGAGGUGAAUGAAAAGAGUACUUUGUUAUCACCUAGUGGGUGUGGAAGUCUAGGCUCCCUGUGUGGUCUUCACAGACACUGUGAGAGUAGACCUCACUGUGACCUCACGAAUAUAAAAAUCCAGGUUUCUCCUUGGCCUUCUUUGACAUCACUCUGACAGCACCCAGAGAGCUCUCCGCACCACACUGCUGCUGCUGCUACUGAGGGAGAGGAAGGGGUCACGUCUGAGAUUCAGGAUUGUUUUAUCUGCUUCUUCAGUGCCUGUUUCAGUGAUAUGAAGUUAAAACCAGGUACUGUGAGUGCUCACAGGAUUUUUGGUUCUUAGGAUGCGUUUCCCUGUGUCGAUAGUUGUAUUAAGCCAUCUUGCUCUGC